rnacentral:rRNA from 1 species
GGGGCAAGUCCCGUAGCUAACGCGUUAAGUCCUGCGCCUGGGGAGUACGGUCGCAAGACUGAAACUCAGAGGAAUUGACGGGGGCCCGCACAAGCGGUGGAACAUGUGGUUCAAUUCGACGCAACGCGAAGAACCUUACCUGGGCUUGAACCGCACAGGACCAGCCUAAGAAAUUAGGCCUUCCCGCAAGGGACCUGUGUAGAGGUGCUGCAUGGCUGUCGUCAGCUCGUGCCGUGAGGUGUUGGGUUAAGUCCCGCAACGAGCGCAACCCUUACUCAUAGUUGCUACCCGCAAGGGAGAACUCUAUGAGGACUGCUCCGGAUAACGGAGAGGAAGGUGGGGAUGAGGUCAAGUCAGCAUGGCCUUUAUGUCCAGGGCUACACACGUGUUACAAUGCGCGCUACAAAGCGUUGCAAACCCGCGAGGGGGAGCUAAUCGCAAAAAAGCGCGCUCAGUUCGGAUUGCAGUCUGCAACUCGACUGCAUGAAGCCGGAAUCGCUAGUAAUGGCGCAUCAGAACGGCGCCGUGAAUACGUUCCCGGGCCUUGUACACACCGCCCGUCACAUCACGAAAGUGGGCUGUACUAGGAGUCGUCGUGCCAACCGCAAGGGGGCAGACGCCCAAGGUAUGACUCAUGAUUGGGGUG